rnacentral:rRNA from 1 species
UGGGGAAUUUUGGACAAUGGGCGAAAGCCUGAUCCAGCAAUGCCGCGUGUGUGAAGAAGGCCUUCGGGUUGUAAAGCACUUUUGUCCGGAAAGAAAUCCUUGGCUCUAAUACAGUCGGGGGAUGACGGUACCGGAAGAAUAAGCACCGGCUAACUACGUGCCAGCAGCCGCGGUAAUACGUAGGGUGCAAGCGUUAAUCGGAAUUACUGGGCGUAAAGCGUGCGCAGGCGGUUUGCUAAGACCGAUGUGAAAUCCCCGGGCUCAGCCUGGGAACUGCAUUGGUGACUGGCAGGCUAGAGUAUGGCAGAGGGGGGUAGAAUUCCACGUGUAGCAGUGAAAUGCGUAGAGAUGUGGAGGAAUACCGAUGGCGAAGGCAGCCCCCUGGGCCAAUACUGACGCUCAUGCACGAAAGCGUGGGGAGCAAACAGGAUUAGAUACCCUGGUAGUCCACGCCCUAAACGAUGUCAACUAGUUGUUGGGGAUUCAUUUCCUUAGUAACGUAGCUAACGCGUGAAGUUGACCGCCUGGGGAGUACGGUCGCAAGAUUAAAACUCAAAGGAAUUGAC